AGAGCAGCAAUGGCGGCCGGAGGCGGCGGUAGCUACGACCCCUUGGCCCCGGCGGGGGUCCCCUGCGCCUUCUCGCCGGACAGUCAAGCCUACUUCGCUUUAGCCUCUAGUGACGGUCAGCUGCGAGUAUGGGAGACCGCCAACAACCGGCUGCACCAGGAGUACGUGCCUUCCGCGCACCUCAGCGGUACCUGCACCUGCCUGGCCUGGGCGCCAGCACGGCUGCAGGCCAAGG
rnacentral:lncRNA from 1 species